rnacentral:misc_RNA from 1 species
UUUCCGUAGGUGAACCUGCGGAAGGAUCAUUAUUGAAUAAACCUGAUGUGGUUGUAGCUGGCCCUUUCGGGAGCAUGUGCACACCCGUCGUCUUUAUCUUUCCACCUGUGCACCUUUUGUAGACCUGGAUGUAACACUUCCGAGGCAACUCGGUCGGGAGGAAUGCUGUCAGCUUUCCUUGAAUGUCCAGGCCUAUGUUUUCAUAUACCCCAAAGAAUGUAACAGAAUGUAUUAUUGGGCCUUGUGCCUAUAAACUAUAUACAACUUUCAGCAACGGAUCUCUUGGCUCUC